rnacentral:snRNA from 1 species
UCGACGUGGCAUCGGACA